CCCUUAGAUGUUCUGGGCUGCACGCGCGCUACACUGAUGCGAUCAACAAGUUUUUCCUAUGUCGAUAGACACGGGUAAUCUUUUGAACUCGCAUCGUGAUGGGGAUAGAUUAUUGUAAUUAUUAAUCUUCAACGAGGAAUUCCUAGUAGGUGCAAAUCAUCAGUUUGCAUCGAUUACGUCCCUGCCCUUUGUACACACCGCCCGUCGCUGCUACCGAUUGGUUGAUCUGGUGAAUUAUUCGGACUGCCGGCUGAAGGGGUUUCCUCAUCUGCCAGUGGAAAGUCUUGUUAACCCUAUCAACUAGAGGAAGCAGAAGUCGUAACA
rnacentral:rRNA from 1 species